UAUCAUGCAGUCGAGCGGCUGGAUUAAGAGCUUGGUCUUAUGAACUUAGCGGCGGACGGGUGAGUAACACGUGGGUAACCUGCCCAUAAGACUGGGAUAACUCCGGGAAACCGGGGCUAAUACCGGAUAACAUUUUGAACCGCAUGGUUGCGAAAUUGAAAGGCGGCUUCGGCUGUCACCUAUAGAUGGACCCGAGUCGCAUUAGCUAGUUGGUGGAGGUAACGGCUCACCAAGGCAACGAUGCGUAGCCAACCUGAGAGGGUGAUCAGCCACACUGGGACUUGAGACACGGCCCAGACUCCUACCGGAGGCAGCAGUAUGGAAUCUUCCGCAAUGGACGAAAGUCUGACGCAGUCAACUGCCGCGUGAGUGAUGAAGGCUUUCGGGUCGUAAAACUCUGUUCAGUUAGGGAAGACACAAGUGCUAGUUGAAUAAGCUGGCACCUGGACGGUACCUAACCAGAAAGCCACGCCUAACUUACGUGCCAGCAGCCGCGGUAAUACGUACGUGCCAAGCGUUAUCCGGAAUUAAUUGGCGCGUAAAGCGCACGGCAGGCUGGUUUCUUAAGUCAUGAUGUUGAAAUGCCCAUCGGCUUCAACCUGUGAAGGGUCAUUGGAAACUGGCGAAGACAUGAGUGCCAGAAGAAGGAAAGUGGAAUUCCAUGUGUAGCGGUGAAAUGCGUAGAGAUUAUGGAGGAACACCAGUGGCGAAGGCGGACUUUCUGGUCUGUAGACUGACACUCAGGCGCGAAAGCGUGGGGAGCAAACCAGGAUUAGAUACCCUGGUAGUCCACGCCGUUAACGAAUCGACUGCUAAGUGUUAAGGGGUUUCCGCCCUUUAUUGCUGAAAUUAAAGCAUUAAACCACUCCGCCGGGGGAAGUACGGCCCCAAGGAUGAAAACAAAAAAAAAAAGGGGGGCCGGCACCCAAGCGGUGGAGCACUGUGGUUUAAUUCGGAAACACCGCGAAGAUCCUACCCCAGGUCUUGACAUCCUCUGAACCACCCCGAGAGAUAGGGCUCUCCUUCGGAACCGAGACUGACAGGUGGUGCCAUCGCUGUUUCGUCAGCUCAUGGUCGUGAAAGAUGGGCGGUUAAGUCCCGCACGGAGCCCAACCCUUGAUCUUAGCGCAGCUCAUCAAGUGGGCCACUCAAAGAGACUGCAGGUGGACAAACCGGAGGAAGGUGGGGAUGACGUCAAGUCAUCAUGCCCCUUAUGACUAGGCUUACACACGUGCUACAAUGGCAGUUGACAAAGUAGAAUGCUAAACCCGCGAGUGGCAAGCUAACUUCAUAAACGGCCUUUUUUAGUUCGGAUUGUAGUUUGCAAUUCGCUUCCAGGAAGUGGGAAUCGUUGUUAUUCGGGGAUCACCAUGCCGCGGGGAAUACGUUCCCGGCCCUGGUCCACACCGCCGGCCCCACCCGGGGAGUUGGACCACAGGAAGUAGGUGGGUUAACC
rnacentral:rRNA from 1 species